AGUGAACGCUGGCGGUAGGCCUAACACAUGCAAGUCGAACGGCAGCACAGUAAGAGCUUGCUCUUACGGGUGGCGAGUGGCGGACGGGUGAGGAAUACAUCGGAAUCUACUUUUUCGUGGGGGAUAACGUAGGGAAACUUACGCUAAUACCGCAUACGACCUACGGGUGAAAGCAGGGGAUCUUCGGACCUUGCGCGAUUGAAUGAGCCGAUGUCGGAUUAGCUAGUUGGCGGGGUAAAGGCCCACCAAGGCGACGAUCCGUUGCUGGUCUGAGAGGAUGAUCAGCCCCACUGGAGCUGAGACACGGUCCAGACUCCUACGGGAGGCACCAGUGGGGAAUAUUGGACAAUUGUCGCGAGCCUGAUCCAGCCAUACCGCGUGGGUGAAGAAGGCCUUCGGGUUGUAAAGCCCUUUUGUUGGGAAAGAAAAGCAGCAGGUUAAUACCCCGCUGUUCUGACGGUACCCAAAGAAUAAGCACCGGCUAACUUCGUG
rnacentral:rRNA from 1 species